CCCGGUUCCCCUGUGCCCUGCACACCCCUCUGCACCUUCUCCGUGCACCUUCCUCACAGACGGACAUCCGUGUUGGUCUUCCCUCUGCUGGUGAGCUGAAUCAACAUGGUGCUGGGUGUGGAAAGCCCUCCUGACAGUUGC
rnacentral:lncRNA from 1 species